UUAAUUGAAACCAAAAUAGAGGUAUAUCACUGUUAAUGAUAUCACUGAGAACCAUCUCCAAUUAAG
rnacentral:tRNA from 1 species